AUUGAAGGGAUAAAUUGGAAGUUCUCCUGCUUUAUAGUCGAAGGGAAAUACAUGAUGAUAAUUAUGCCAUCCUUCGCCCAAUGUUAUUAUCGACAAUAUUCUGUUCUCAACCGACGUUAUGUCCCUGGAAAAAAAUCGUUACCCAGAAAGUGAGGUAAUAACACAAAAGAAGAAAUAUUCGGAGAGGAAGUUUCGCUUUAUAAGAUCUGUGACUCCAUAGACGAUGAACACCAGCGGUUUCUCCAAAUUUCGCAAAAAGUCCUAUGGCGAAAUCUACAAUCGCCAAAAAAUGGAUCAACAAAACAUGUUUCUCGUCUCAAAAUUCAUGGUUGGCUGUCCUGAUUAUUAUACUGACAUCAGGUUAGGUUAAUUUCCGUCGCAUCUGACCAGGGAUGGGUACGUAUUAUACAUGAUGUAUUAUACCUGGUUUUCUACACGUAUAAUACGUGGUAUUAUACAUCUUUAGUUUUCUACGUAUGUCAUGUAUUUUACAUA